rnacentral:misc_RNA from 1 species
GAUGAAGAACGCAGCGAAAUGCGAUACGUAGUGUGAAUUGCAGAAUUCAGUGAAUCAUCGAAUCUUUGAACGCACAUUGCGCCCUUUGGUAUUCCAAAGGGCAUGCCUGUUCGAGCGUCAUUUGUACCCUCAAGCUUUGCUUGGUGUUGGGCGUCUUGUCUCCAGUCCGCUGGAGACUCGCCUUAAAGUCAUUGGCAGCCGGCCUACUGGUUUCGGAGCGCAGCACAAGUCGCACUCUUUUCCAGCCAAGGUCAGUGUCCAACAAGCCUUUUUUCAACUUUUGACCUCGGAUCAGGUAGGGAUACCCGCUGAACUUAAGCAUAUCAAUAAGCGGAGA